rnacentral:misc_RNA from 1 species
UGGCCUGGGUAAUGAGACAUGAGUAUCACUAAUGAAACCAUCUGGUAAUUCUGUGCCAACACCUGUUGAUGUCAAGGAAGUGCCUCCUUGGGUUGGAGAUAUUGGCUGGGCUUCAAGUCUAUAAAACAUAGCACCAUACACACUGAGUAACUGGUGGAAAAAGAAUCUUAUGCAUAUGCAGUGCCUAUAUUUUGAAUUGCCGCAUAAGCAUAUUCUUCAAAUUCAUCGUUGCAUGGACAGCAGCAGAAGGCAGCCA